AUAUAAUGCAGUCGAACGGAUAAAGGUCUUCGGAUGCUGACGAGUGGCGAACGGGUGAGUAAUACAUCGUACCGUGCCCCAACGUGGGGGAUAACGAGUCGAAAGCUUUGCUAAUACCGCAUACGAUCUACGGAUGAAAGCAGGGGAUCUCCUCGCCUCACUCGAUCGGAGCGGCUGAUGGCAGAUUAGGUAGUUGGUGGGAUAUAAGCUUACCGAGCCGAUGAUCUGUGUCUGGUCUGAGAGGACGACCAGCCACACUGGAACUGAGACACGGCCCAGACUCCUACGGGAGGCAGCAGUGGGGAAUUUUGGACAAUCGGCGAAAGCCUGAUCCAGCCAUGCCCCGUGCAGGAUGAUUCCCUUCGGGUUGUAAACUGCUUUUGUACGAAACGAAAACGCUUUUCCUCAUACAUUCGGCACAUGACGUUACCAUAAGAAUAAGCACCGGCUAACUACGUGCCAGCAGCCGCGGUAAUACGUACGGUGCUAGCUUUAAUCGAAAUUACUGGGCGUAAAGCCUGCGCAGGCUGUUAUGUAAGACUGAUGUCAAAUCCCCGGGCUCAACCUGUGAACUGCUUUUGUGACUGCAUGGCUAGAGUACCGCAGAAUGGGAUGGAAUUCCGCGUGUAGCAGUGAAAUGCGUAGAUAUGCAGAGGAACACCCAUGGCGAACCAAUCCCCUGGACCUGCACUGACGCUCUGCACAUAGCGUGUGGAGCAACUAGAUUAGAUACCCUGGUAGUCCACCCCUAAACGAUGUCAACUGGUGAUGGGUCUUCCCGACUCAUAACUAAGCUACGCGUGAGUUGAUCGCCUGGCGGUACGACGCAAGUUGAAACUCAAUGAAUUGACGGGACCGCACAGCGUUGGUGAUGUGGUUAAUUCAUGCAAGCGAAAACUU
rnacentral:rRNA from 1 species